GUGAUGAUAAAUGAUUAUGUGACAUCUUAGGGUCACAUGUUGAGAGCCAUCCCACUGUGGUCAGUUCUAAGGCCUAGUAUUUUUUAUACAUUUUAUCAAUGAUUUGGAAGAUAGCUUCACCCUCAGCUUAAUGAGCACACUAUCUGUUCCCAUCUUGAAAGACUGUCAACACUACCAGGCAAAAAAAUGGAAUUCAAAUGUCCCUGAUUAAUUGAAAACUGGUCCAUCAAAAGUGUGAAUUAAACCAUAGGGAUACACCCUCUAUAUUUAGAGGCUGAACACUAGCUAUUUGAGUAUAAGCAGUAACACACUAGUAUGGUCCUAAGAGGCAAUAACGAAAGAUGAGAAUGCCUUUAUUGACCAAUAUGAAUUACAACAGAAAUCCAGUUUAUUAAGAGUAUGCACCAUGCCUUCUAUGUCCUAGUUGGAGAAUCAUUUUUCUCUUUAUUUUUUUUUUUCACUUUAAAAAAGGAGACCAGGGGGGAGGGAGGAGGGAGUGGGACAGACUGGGAGGUUGGGGUUAGCAGAGCCAAACUCUUAACAUUUAGAAUGAAUAAACAACAAGGUCCUACUGUAUAGCACAGGGAACCAUAUCCAAUCUCCUAGGAUAGACCAUGAUGGAAAAGAAUACAAAAAAGAAUAUAUGUAUGUAUAAAUGAGUCACUUUUCCGUACAGCAGAAAUUCACACAAUGUUGUAAAUCAACUAUACUUUAAACAGAAAAAAAGUUUCAUAAAAAUGUUAAUUGAUGGACUAUGAUAAUUAAUGUCAGAUAUUUUUAUUCUAACUAAAUUCUUCAUGUCUCCUUUGAAAAUAGUAAAGAUUCAAGCAAUAUUUGUUAGAUGAAUGAAUGACUUGAAGAGAGAAACUUAAGAGAGAACAGAUUAUGAUUGAAGUAAAAUUCACCAGUUUCUUUCUUUAGGGCUACACCUGAGGCAUAUGGAAUUUCCUGGGCUAGGGGUCAAAUUAGAGCUGUAGCUUCCAGCCUAUGCUACAGCCACAGAAACAGAGGAUCCACAUUGCAUCUGUGACCUACACUGUAGCUAGCAGCAAUGCCGGAUCCUUAAACCACUGAACGAGGCCAGGGAGUGAACCCACAUCCUCAUUGAUACUAGUCUAGUUGGGUUCUUAAUCCACUGAGCCACAACAGGAACUAAAAAAUUCACCUAUUUCUAUUAAUUUAUUCAUUUAAAGGACACUUGUUCUUUUACUAGUUUCCAGAUAUGUAUUAGACACUGGGAAUACAGUAAAUGAGUCAUUAAGCUUGUUCAGAAGGAGCAAACAGACUGGUUUAAAAAAAAUGGAAAUCCAUAAAUACAAUGAUAUGUGGCAAAUACUGUUAAGAGGUGCCUGUCAGGGCAUUCCACGAUGACAGAGAAUAAGAAGGCAGGGGUGGUGAUCUGGCUAAGGUAAAAUUUGAAUAAUUAAUGGUUGAACUGAAGUUUCAAGGAUGAAUUAUCUUAACUAUGGUGUGUACAUGUAUGUUUAUAUGAAUGAGUGGACGUCUGUGGAUGUUGAUGAGUGUCCAGGGAGGAGGGUGGCCAGAGGAGAGCAGUAGGCAAGAGGAGAGGUUUUCCUUUCUGGUGAAAGAAACAAUUGGCAAACACACAUGAGGGAUUUUACUAGGCAAUUUGUGGACCAUGCCUACUGUCUCUUUAGAAAAGAUAACAGGAGUUCCCUUACUGGCUCAGUGGUUAACAAAUCCAACUAGAAUCCAUGAGGAUGUGGGUUCGAUCUCCGGCCUCACUCAGUGGGUUAAGGAUCUGAUGUUUCUGUAAGCUCUGGUGUAGGUCUCAGAUGUGGCUCAGAUCCUGCAUUGCUGUGGCUGUGGCUAGCAGCUGUAGCUCCUAUUCAACUCCUAGCCUGGGAAAUUCUAUAUGCCCUGGGUGCUGCCCUAAAAAGCAAAAAAAUAAAAAUAAAAGAUAACAUGAGACAAGAUGGCUUAAAUAAGAUCAAAUGGAAUUUAACUAGGCAUAAGAAUUUCUGUCAUUGUUUUAACAUUGGAAUGGAGUGUUCACACAAUGUUAAUAUUUGUACCUAGAGGUCACUAAAAAUGGAAUUUAAAAAAAUCUUUUUGAUUGAAUGAAAGAUUCUUUAAAUUCUAUGCUGCUUUAUAGUUUUCAAAAGUUUCAUACACGUGAUUUCAUGUAAUCCCAUAAUAACCCCUUUUUCUCCUUACCCCUAUAUUGUCCCUCCCCCCUCCCCUCUCUCCAGUCUAUUUUUGGGACAUUAGCAAGAUGGAAAAGUAAGAUACCAGACAAUAAUUAGAUAGCUAUCUACAAACAAAAAUAGCUCAGGGGUUCAAUUAAGACCCUACAGCAAAACAUGGAGUAAAAAAUGAAGAAUAUUCACACAUAAAGGUUCACUGCAGAAAUCAGCUGAGUGGAUAUUAGCUGUGGAGAAAUUAGUUCUUAGCCAGUGGAGAUGGCUAAGAACAAAGAAGAAAGGCAAAGCUAACGAUAUCAACUACAUAGUAGGUGUAGCCAUGGUCUGCAGUGGUCUGCUUUGUAGAGGACCCAGCAGCCUUUGCCACUGAGAACCUCUACAGCCCUCAGGACAGCUGUGGACUCUCCACAAUUUUCAUAGCAGAGGACCCCAUUGUAUUUGUCAGCAUGCACCCCAGAGCUUUUUCUACAGAAGACAUUGGCAGCCUUUGAAUUGAAGUAGCCAACAGCCAUAGCUGCUAAAGACUCACCAGGGAGGGAGAUUUUGCUGUGCUACCCCUGAGAAAAAGCUGCUGUUGUAUUGCCUAAGGUCCAGUGAUACAGCACCCCCAACCCUGCACACACCCCAGGCCCCAGGGCCAAAGCUGCUCCAUGUGGGCCCACACUUCAGAUCUCAGCUCCAAGUCUAUUCCAUGUGAACCUGUGCUCCAGAUCUUAGGUUUGAGGCUGCUCUGCACACAUACACUUUCUAGACUCAGCACUGUGGCUGCCCCACAUACACCUCAAGCACAAUAACCAUACUCACUGUGGUGCUAACAGCAUCCUGGGCCCCAUAGCUUUUGGCACUCCAUGCAUGGCCAGACCUUGUGCUCCGGACAUUGGCUUUGUGACAGCUUGGUGUGUACUUAUGUCUCAAAACAUCAGUGCUGCUCUGAGGUGCCCCAGACCCUAGAGUCACUGUCACUCUGGAAUCACUUGGGUUUCAAAACCUAUGGCUGCUCCACAGGAUUCUGCACAUCAAACACCAGUGAACCACCACCACAAGUGUGCCCAAAAGCUAGUUCUGAAACCAGCAGGGAACUCCUUGGCCACAUCCAUCAAGGGGGGAAAAAGAGACUGGAUGGUCUCCAACAACCCUCACCACUGCUGCCGAUACCCUCAGCCUCAGUCAUUGAAGGUCCCUGAAAUCUUCACCAAUGCCAACCUCAGCUGAUGAAGCUAAACUUUGCUGCUGGGCUUUUUCAGGAGCUGGAGCUAGUACAUCCCCAAGUUACACCCUCACUUUCACCUGCGGGUGAAGUCUUUCCCCACAAAAACUAAUCCACAAAGUCUGAAAGAGGUGAGUUCUUCAUCCAAUGAACAGAUAUCAACACAAGGCUACCAGAAACAUAAAAAAUGAAGAAAACAUGACACCACCAGAGGAAACCAAUAAGUUUCUAGUGGCCAACUUCAAGGAAACAGAGAUCUAAACAUUUCUGGACAGAGACUGCAAAAUAAUUGUUGUAAGAAAAGUCAGUGAACUAUAAAAAUACAGACAAAAUCAGGGAAAAUAUAUGAACAAAAUGGGAAGUUUAAAAGAGAAAUUAUUUUAUUUAAAAAAGAACCAAACAGAAAUUCAAUGAGUAAAGUGAAAAACACAAUAGAGAAUAUCAAAAGCAGAUUUGACUAAGCAAAAGAAAAAAAUCUGAGAAUUCAAAAACAGGUUAUUCAAAAUUAAUAACAGU
rnacentral:lncRNA from 1 species